GCGGGAGAUUGCUGCUAUUGGGAUUCGAUUAAGCCAUGCAAGUCAUCCAGCAAUGGAGGCAUAAGGCUCAGUAACACGUCGGUAAUCUGCCCUACGGUCAGGGAUAGCUUCGCGAAAGUGAGGGUAAAACCUGAUAUGGAAAAAGCCCUGGAAUGGGCUCUUCCUGAAACUCGUGCCGUAGGAUGAGCUGGCGGCGGAUUAGGUUUGGCGGUGUAACGGACCCAAGCCUAGGAUCCGUACGGGCCAUGAGAGUGGUAGCCCGGAGAGGGACACUGAGAUACUGGUCCCAGCCCCACGGGGUGCAGCAGGCGCGAAACCUUUCCAAUGCACGCAAGUGUGAGAAGGGAAUCCCAAGUGCUCAACUAUGUUGGGCUUUUGCCAUGUGUAAAAAGCUUGGCGAAUAAGGGGUGGGCAAGACUGGUGCCAGCCGCCGCGGUAACCCCAGCGCCCCAAGUGGCAAUCACGAUUAUUGGGUCUAAAGCGUUCGUAGCAGGUCUUGUUAAUCUUUUGUGAAAUCGGCAGGCUUAACCUGUCGGCGCGCAGGGGACACUGCAGGACUCGGGACCGGGAGAGGUUAGAAGUAUUCCUUGGGUACCGGUAAAAUGGGUUAAUCCAAGGAGGACUACCAAUGGCGAAGGCAUCUGACCAGAACGGGUCUGACUGUGAGGAACGAAAGCUAGGGGAGCAAAACGGAUUAGAUACCCGAGUAGUCCUAGCUGUAAACGCUGUGAGCAAGGUAUUGCGCACCCCACGAGGAUGCGCAGUGUCGAAGAGAAGUCGCUAAGCUCACCACCAGGGAAGUACUGUCGCAAGGCUGAAACUUUAAGGAAUUGGCGGGGAGACACCACAAGGGGUGCGGCGUGCGGUUCAAUCUAACUCAACGCAGAGAACCUCACUAGAGCCGACGGCAGAAUGAAGGUCAUGCUGAAGACAUUACCUGACAAGCCGAGAGGUAGUGCAUGGCCGUCGCCAGCUCGUGCUGUGAAGCGUCCAGUUAAGUCUGGCAACGAGCGAGACCUGUACCCUCUAUUGCUAACAACACCUUCGGGUGGAUUGAGCACUUUGAGGGGACUGCCCUGGAAACAGGGAGGAAGGUGCAGGCUACGGUAGGUCUGUAUGCUCCGAAUGCUCUAGGCUACACGCGCGCAACAAUGGUAGGGACAAUGGGAUGCCACUCCGAAAGGAGGAGCUAAACCUCUAAACCCUAUCCUAGUCCAGAUCGAGGCUUGUAACUCAGCCUCGUGACGAUGGAAUCCCUAGUAAUCGGAUUUUAUCAUAGUCCGGUGAAUAUGUCCCUGUCUCUUGCACACACCGCCCGUCAAACCAAUCGAGCAGGGUUUAGGUGAAACCCGACUUUAUUGGUCGUGUUGAACCUAAGCUCAGUGAGAUGGGUUAAGUCGUCACAAGGUC
rnacentral:rRNA from 1 species